AACGAACGCUGGCGGCGUGGAUUAGGCAUGCAAGUCGAGCGAGAAAAGGUCCGCAAGGGCCUGAGUAAAGCGGCGCAAGGGUGAGUAAUGCCUGGAUAACCUACCCCUGAGAGGGGGAUAACGUCUGGAAACGGACGCUAAUACCCCAUAAGACCACGGGCCUACGAGUCCGUGCUUAAAGAUAGCCUCUGUUUACAAGCCUUCGCUCAGGGAGGGGUUCAGGUCCUACUAGCUAGUUGGUGGGAUAAAAGCUUACCAAGCCGACGAUCUGUAGCUGGUCUGAGAGGACGACCAGCCACACUGGGACUGAGACACGGCCCAGACUCCUACGGGAGGCAGCAGUGGGGAAUUUUGGACAAUGGGCGAAAGCCUGAUCCAGCCAUGCCGCGUGCAGGAUGAAGGCCUUCGGGUUGUAAACUGCUUUUGUACGGAACGAAAGACUCCUUCUAAUAAAGGGGUCCAUGACGGUACCGUAAGAAUAAGCACCGGCUAACUACGUGCCAGCAGCCGCGGUAAGCACGG
rnacentral:rRNA from 1 species